GACGUAGGGUGCAAGCGUUGUCCGGAUUUACUGGGCGUAAAGCGCGCGUAGGCGGCUCGUUAAGUGUGGAGUGAAAUGCCGGGGCUCAACCCCCGGAACUGCUUUACAUACUGGCGAGCUUGAGGGAUGCAGAGGUUUGUGGAAUUCCUGGUGUAACGGUGAAAUGUGUUGAUAUCAGGAGGAACACCCAUGGCGAAGGCAGCAAACUGGGCAUCAUCUGACGCUGAGGUGCGAAAGCGUGGGUAGCAAACAGG
rnacentral:rRNA from 1 species